UACGUAGGGACCAAGCGUUGUUCGGAUUUCCUGGGCGUAAAGGGCGCGUAGGCGGUCGUCCAAGUCGCGUGUGAAAGCCCCCGGCUCAACUGGGGAGGGUCACGCGAUACUGGUCGACUCGAAGGCAGGAGAGGGUAGUGGAAUUCCCGGUGUAGUGGUGAAAUGCGUAGAUAUCGGGAGGAACACCAGUGGCGAAGGCGACUACCUGGCCUGUUCUUGACGCUGAGGCGCGAAAGCUAGGGGAGCAAACGGG
rnacentral:rRNA from 1 species